rnacentral:rRNA from 1 species
UACGGAGGGUGCGAGCGUUGUCCGGAAUCACUGGGCGUAAAGGGCGCGUAGGCGGCCGUGUAAGUCACUUGUGAAAGCCCGGGGCUCAACCCCGGGUCGGCCGUGCGAACUGCAGAGCUGGAGCACUGUAGAGGCAGGUGGAAUUCCGGGUGUAGCGGUGGAAUGCGUAGAGAUCCGGAAGAACACCGGUGGCGAAGGCGGCCUGCUGGGCAGUGGCUGACGCUGAGGCGCGACAGCGUGGGGAGCAAACAGG